UCCUCCCUCUUUCUUCGUGCUUAACACAUGCAAGUCGAACGGAAAGGCCCUGCUUUUGUGGGGUGCUCGAGUGGCGAACGGGUGAGUAACACGUGAGUAACCUGCCCUUGACUUUGGGAUAACUUCAGGAAACUGGGGCUAAUACCGGAUAGGAGCUCCUGCUGCAUGGUGGGGGUUGGAAAGUUUCGGCGGUUGGGGAUGGACUCGCGGCUUAUCAGCUUGUUGGUGGGGUAGUGGCUUACCAAGGCUUUGAAGGGUAGCCGGCCUGAGAGGGUGACCGGCCACAUUGGGACUGAGAUACGGCCCAGACUCCUACGUGAGGCAGCAGUGGGGAAUAUUGCACAAUGGGCGGAAGCCUGAUGCAGCAACGCCGCGUGCGGGAUGACGGCCUUCGGGUUGUAAACCGCUUUCGCCUGUGACGAAGCGUGAGUGACGGUAAUGAGUAAAGAAGCACCGGCUAACUACGUG
rnacentral:rRNA from 1 species